rnacentral:rRNA from 1 species
UACGUAGGGUGCAAGCGUUAAUCGGAAUUACUGGGCGUAAAGCGUGCGCAGGCGGUUGUGUAAGACAGAUGUGAAAUCCCCGGGCUCAACCUGGGAACUGCAUUUGUGACUGCACAGCUCGAGUGCGGCAGAGGGGGAUGGAAUUCCGCGUGUAGCAGUGAAAUGCGUAGAUAUGCGGAGGAACACCGAUGGCGAAGGCAAUCCCCUGGGCCUGCACUGACGCUCAUGCACGAAAGCGUGGGGAGCAAACAGG